GAUGAACGCUGACUGAAUGCUUAACACAUGCAAGUCAUUGGCGAAGCUGCGCUUGCGCAGUCUAGCCAAGGCGGACGGGUGAGUAACGCGUAAGGAACUUGCCCUGCAGACAGGGAUAACAGACGGAAACGACUGAUAACACCUGGUAUUGUCAGGCUGGCGCAUGCCGGCCUGAUGAAAGGAGACGCUGCAGGAGAGCCUUGCGUCCUAUUAGCUAGUUGGUGGGGUAACGGCCCACCAAGGCGAUGAUAGGUAGCCGGCCUGAGAGGGUGAACGGCCACAAGGGGACUGAGAUACGGCCCUUACUCCUACGGGAGGCAGCAGUGGGGAAUAUUGGACAAUGGGGGCAACCCUGAUCCAGCAAUUCUGUGUGCACGAAGAAGGUUUUCGGAUUGUAAAGUGCUUUCAGCAGGGAAGAAGAAAGUGACGGUACCUGCAGAAGAAGCGACGGCUAAAUACGUG
rnacentral:rRNA from 1 species